UGGGCUGUGUAAAACAAACUCACAGCCUGCAGCAAAACAGAUCCUGGAACAGCCCAAACAGAAAGGCAGGGGCUGUUUGCUCUGGCCCAAAGCCCCUGCCUCCCUGCUCAUCUCAGACGUGUGCCUCCACCUUGGCGUUCUGUCUGGGCUUCCUGUCAGUCCGAGUCUCUCUAUCCUCACUGUGAAUCUUACAGUGCUGCAGUUGCCUUGGGUUAUUGUGAAGAUCAAAUGGCACAUUCCCUUUGGAAACUGUUAAAGGCUUUACGAAGCAGGCCAGCCAGGGGGUGUUCAUGGAGAUGGCAGAAGCACCCCAGCGACAGUCCCAAUGUGCACGCCCAUUUUAAACCUCUGCUCACAUCACAUCUGCAAAAAUACUGCUGGCGAUGGCAAGUCACAUGGCUGAGCCGAAGCAAGGUAUGGAGAAAUCCACCCUGCUCAAAGU